rnacentral:rRNA from 1 species
GACGAACGCUGGCGGCGUGCUUAACACAUGCAAGUCGAACGGAGUGGCGAACGGGUGAGUAACACGCGGGUGAACUGCCCCGCACUUCGGGAUAUGCCUGGGAAACUGGGUCUAAUACCGGUUAGUGUGGGAUGGGCCCGAGGCCUACCAGCUUGUUGGUGGGGUAAUAGCCUACCAAGGCGGCGACGGGUAGCCGGCCUGAGAGGGUGGACGGCCACAUAGGGACUGAGGCGCGACCCAGACGCAUACGGGGGGCAGCAGUGGAGAAUAUUGCACGAUAGGCGGAAGGCUGAAGCAGCGACGCCGCGUGGGAGAUGACGGCCUUCGGGUUGUAAACUCCUUUCACCAUCGACGCGGUAGAUGGAGAAGAAGCACCGGCUAACUACGUGCCAGCAGCCGCGGUAAUUC